UACGUAGGGUGCAAGCGUUAUCCGGAAUUAUUGGGCGUAAAGAGCUCGUAGGCGGUCUGUCGCGUCGGAUGUGAAAACCCAGGGCUCAACCCUGGGCCUGCAUUCGAUACGGGCAGACUAGAGUACGGCAGGGGAGACUGGAAUUCCUGGUGUAGCGGUGAAAUGCGCAGAUAUCAGGAGGAACACCGGUGGCGAAGGCGGGUCUCUGGGCCGUAACUGACGCUGAGGAGCGAAAGCGUGGGGAGCGAACAGG
rnacentral:rRNA from 1 species